rnacentral:rRNA from 1 species
UACGUAGGGUGCGAGCGUUGUCCGGAAUUAUUGGGCGUAAAGAGCUCGUAGGCGGUUUGUUGCGUCUAUCGUGAAAACCUGCAGCUUAACUGUGGGCGUGCGGUCGAUACGGGCAUCACUGGAGUUCGGCAGGGGAGACUGGAAUUCCUGGUGUAGCGGUGAAAUGCGCAGAUAUCAGGAGGAACACCGGUGGCGAAGGCGGGUCUCUGGGCCGAUACUGACGCUGAGGAGCGAAAGCGUGGGGAGCGAACAGG